rnacentral:rRNA from 1 species
UUGUUGGUAAGGUAAAAGCUUACCAAGGCUUCGAUCAGUAGCUGGUCUGAGAGGACGACCAGCCACACUGGGACUGAGACACGGCCCAGACUCCUACGGGAGGCAGCAGUGGGGAAUUUUGGACAAUGGGGGCAACCCUGAUCCAGCCAUGCCGCGUGAGUGAAGAAGGCCUUCGGGUUGUAAAGCUCUUUCAGCCGGAACGAAACGGUUACGGUUAACACCCGUGACUACUGACGGUACCGGAAGAAGAAGCACCGGCUAACUACGUGCCAGCAGCCGCGGUAAUACGUAGGGUGCGAGCGUUAAUCGGAAUUACUGGGCGUAAAGCGUGCGCAGGUGGUUUUGUAAGUCAGAUGUGAAAGCCCCGGGCUCAACCUGGGAACUGCGUUUGAAACUACAAGACUAGAGUGUGGCAGAGGGGGGUGGAAUUCCGCGUGUAGCGGUGAAAUGCGUAGAGAUGUGGAGGAACACCGAUGGCGAAGGCAGCCCCCUGGGUCAACACUGACGCUCAGGCACGAAAGCAUGGGGAGCAAACAGGAUUAGAUACCCUGGUAGUCCAUGCCCUAAACGAUGUCAACUAGUUGUCGGGCCUUUACGGGCUUGGUAACGUAGCUAACGCGUGAAGUUGACCGCCUGGGGAGUACGAUCGCAAGAUUAAAACUCAAAUGAAUUGACGGGGACCCGCACAAGCGGUGGAUUAUGUGGAUUAAUUCGAUGCAACGCGAAAAACCUUACCUACCCUUGACAUGUAUCGAAGCCCGCAGAAAAGCGGGGGUGCCCGAAAGGGAACGAUAACACAGGUGCUGCAUGGCUGUCGUCAGCUCGUGCCGUGAGAUGUUGGGUUAAGUCCCGCAACGAGCGCAACCCUUGUCAUUAAUUGCCAUCAUUUAGUUGGGCACUUUAAUGAGACUGCCGG